rnacentral:tRNA from 1 species
GGGGCUAUGGUGUAGCUUGGUUUAGCAUUGCGGCAUGGGGUGCCGCCGACCCCAGUUCAAAUCUGGGUAGCCCCA